ncrna:unclassified sequences dfrA-dnaX RNA
ACGCCAGAUGGUAAAACUAUUAAUAUUUCAUCAUAAUUACUCUAAUUUAAUUAUAAAAAAGGAAUUAUGAUAAAUC